rnacentral:misc_RNA from 1 species
UACGUAGGUGGCAAGCGUUGUCCGGAUUUAUUGGGCGUAAAGGGCUCGUAGGCGGCUUGACAAGUCGGGCGUGAAAACCCGGGGCUCAACCCCGGGAUGCCGUUCGAAACUGUCAUGGCUAGUUUCCGGUAGAGGUGAGUGGAAUUCUCGGUGUAGCGGUGAAAUGCGCAGAUAUCGAGAGGAACACCAGUAGCGAAGGCGGCUCACUGGGCCGGUAAAGACGCUGAGGAGCGAAAGCGUGGGGAGCAAACAGG